UCCUAAUGCUGCGACCUUUGAAU
rnacentral:piRNA from 1 species